CAAGAGAAGAAGGCCGGGAAAAUGCUUAUUGCUCACUAUUUUUCACCUCUCGAUACUUUCUUUAGGGUUCCUUGAUUUCCCUGAUCAAGCCAGGAGAAGGCUUGCCGUCCAAGAAGGAGCGAAGGCAGCUCUUUCCAGGAGUGGCAGAAGUCCCUGUGGAGAGAUCCUUGAGAACCUGAGCUUGUUCUAGGAAUUUCUCCAGCAUGGCCAACCAGGGAGGUGGUUCUUAUUCCCCUUCCCGCUCCGCAUCUCGCAAGAUUCGAUUGAAUCGUGGUGAGAUGUGGAGAAAACGGAAAGCCUCCGAAGAAGGUGACGGGAGUGGCAUCCCAGUGAAGCGCAGCCUUG